rnacentral:rRNA from 1 species
UUGAACGCUGGCGGCAGGCCUCACCCAUGCAAGUCGCGCGGAUGAAGGGAGCUUGCUCCUGGAUUCAGCGGCGGACGGGUGAGUAAUGCCUAGGAAUCUGCCUGGCAGUGGGGGAUAACGUCCGGAAACGGGCGCUAAUACCGCAUACGUCCUGAGGGAGAAAGUGGGGGAUCUUCGGACCUCACGCUAUCAGAUGAGCCUAGGUCGGAUUAGCUAGUUGGUGGGGUAAAGGCCUACCAAGGCGACGAUCCGUAACUGGUCUGAGAGGAUGAUCAGUCACACUGGAACUGAGACACGGUCCAGACUCCUACGGGAGGCAGCAGUGGGGAAUAUUGGACAAUGGGCGAAAGCCUGAUCCAGCCAUGCCGCGUGUGUGAAGAAGGUCUUCGGAUUGUAAAGCACUUUAAGUUGGGAGGAAGGGCAGUAAGUUAAUACCUUGCUGUUUUGACGUUACCAACAGAAUAAGCACCGGCUAACUUCGUG